GAGAGGGUUUUGAUGAUGAGAAUUGGGCUUCUGUGGUGGAUAGAGGAGCAGAAGAGAGGUUAUUGAAGGGAGAUGAUAAUGAAGAAUUUAAGAAGGAGAAAAGGAGGGAGAAAAAGAGGAAAGGUUAUUUUAGUGAUGAAAGUGAUGAGGAUGAUUGAUUAAAAAUUGGAGCUUUUUACCCCAUAGCUUACCAUGCUAAGUAGGUUUUGUAUUUAAGUAGAGGAAGGUAGAAGGGUUAGCCCAUUAUCCCGAGUUUCGAAGGUUGCGGUUGGUACUAAGGGUUGGCCCCAGUUGGAUUUCGCAGUCCUACAAAAAGGAGCUUAGCUUAUUUCUAUAGUUGAGGAAUGAUUUUCUAUAGUGUUAAUUGAAGGUUUUGACCAUGAAUCCUUGGGUCUGUAAUUAAGCUCUCUAACUAGUUUUGAUGGGAGGUCUUCGCACUCUAAACUCUCCUGAAGUUGAAUUGCAAGAACGUAUCUUUCUGCCAGAAUGGAGUCCUCGCUUGAUAUGUAUUACUGAAUCCAUCCAGUGGUGUCUUCUCCGGGGACUUAGAUGAAAGUUGAAAUAUUUGAGAAUUUUAAGUCCUCUAGGUGUGGUGGUGCAUUACUUCUCCAUUAUUUACUUAUCUGUUUGUUAUACCUUCAUAAUCAAUGUCAUUUCAGCUCAUCAGAUUGAGGGGAUCUAUUCUUUACUUCUGCGUUUAUAUGUGGAGGCAAGGGGGUUUUCUUAUCGCGUUGCUUGUUUCUCCUCUUGCUAGUAAGGAGAGGCAACCUGCAAGAUCUUAGUUUUAGAAGUAGGAUAGCUAGAACCCGGGGUUGGUGGUGAAGAAUUUGGAUUCAUCUGAUUCUGGAGGAGCAUAGAAAUUUAAUUCAUGAUGUUGCAACAUGUUGUCAUUCUCAUCUCCCUUGUUCUCAUCAUUUUUGGGUCAGGGAAUUUCUUAUGAUAAAAUGCAAAAUUUCUUAUGCACUGUAAAUGUUGCCAACUUCGUGGAACUUUAAUGUGUUAUUACCUCGUCUAGCUUGAUCA